rnacentral:rRNA from 1 species
GGGGAAUCUUGCGCAAUGGGCGAAAGCCUGACGCAGCAACGCCGCGUGCGGGAUGAAGGCCUUCGGGUUGUAAACCGCUUUCAGCAGGGACGAAAUUGACGGUACCUGCAGAAGAAGCCCCGGCCAACUACGUGCCAGCAGCCGCGGUAACACGUAGGGGGCGAGCGUUGUCCGGAUUUAUUGGGCGUAAAGAGCUCGUAGGCGGUUCUGUAAGUCGGGUGUGAAAACUCUGGGCUCAACCCGGAGACGCCACUCGAUACUGCGGUGACUGGAGUCCGGUAGGGGAGUGCGGAAUUCCUGGUGUAGCGGUGAAAUGCGCAGAUAUCAGGAGGAACACCGACGGCGAAGGCAGCACUCUGGGCCGGUACUGACGCUGAGGAGCGAAAGCGUGGGGAGCGAAC